AUCUUCUCUUCAAAUCUGAUUUUACAGGUCAUCGGAUGAUGGUGACAAUGGUGCUAGGCUGCGAUGACGAAGGUGUGUGGGUGGUGAGACAUGAGAAGAUGAGCACAUGUUUGAUUCCUCUUCCUUCCUCAAAUCUGCAGGUCUGUGAUGGGGAGAUGAAGAACGAGAUAUGGAUUUGGGGAAUUUCAGGCAAACAAGUCUAACUCUUUUGAUUUGGGAGACAUAUUUGAGGUCUUGCGAAUCUAGGUCUUCUUCGAAAUCAUCAGCAUCAUCUUCAGAAUUUGGAGAUUGCAGGAAGUAGUGAGAGUUUUGACCAGAUUAGAAAGAAUUUGGUGGGUGGGUUUGAUGAUGAAAGAAGAUGAAGGAUCGAGUUACAAGUGUAUGUGUGUGUGUGUCUAUGUCUGUGUGUUAAAUUGCAAGUGUAUCUGUGUGUGUGUGAGCUAGUAGAGAGAUGGGUAAGGGGUUACCUGUGGAGUGAUAAGGAUGAGUGGUGUAGGAUUUUAUUUUAUUUAUUUUCUUUUUUUUCUAAUUAUUUAAAUACUGAAAUUAAUAAAGAAAAUAUAAAAAACUAAUGAAAA